AUGUACCACUCGUACACUCCGGUUCCUGUGCGCCGUCCGCACCCACCUGACGACUGCUCGSUACGUUUUGUUAGCU
rnacentral:sRNA from 1 species